UACACUCCUACGGGAGGCAGCAGUGGGGAAUUUUGGACAAUGGGCGAAAGCCUGAUCCAGCAAUGCCGCGUGAGUGAAGAAGGCCUUCGGGUUGUAAAGCUCUUUUGUCAGGGAAGAAACGGUGAGAGCUAAUAUCUUUUGCUAAUGACGGUACCUGAAGAAUAAGCACCGGCUAACUACGUGCCAGCAGCCGCGGUAAUACGUAGGGUGCAAGCGUUAAUCGGAAUUACUGGGCGUAAAGCGUGCGCAGGCGGUUUUGUAAGUCUGAUGUGAAAUCCCCGGGCUCAACCUGGGAAUUGCAUUGGAGACUGCAAGGCUAGAAUCUGGCAGAGGGGGGUAGAAUUCCACGUGUAGCAGUGAAAUGCGUAGAUAUGUGGAGGAACACCGAUGGCGAAGGCAGCCCCCUGGGUCAAGAUUGACGCUCAUGCACGAAAGCGUGGGGAGCAAACAGGAUUAGAAACCCCGGUAGUCCCAU
rnacentral:rRNA from 1 species